AGCAUCCACAAAACCCCGCACAGCCCAGAAGAUUUUCAGCUUUCUGCCAAACAGCUCACACAUCCAUGAGGACCACCUGGGGCCAGGACAGGUGACUGUAAGCAGCACUCACUCCUAAGGAUGGAUGCUCUGCUGACGGAUGCCCUGCUGUCCUGGCAUUUGACUAGCUCUGCUGUGAAACACUAUUGCGAUGCUAAUUCAAAAAGGAGACUGAGGUUGUGAAUAUUCAGCUCCUCGAUUCCUUUGAUCUGUUCUCAAGAAAGAGAGGAUGGACUUCCUAGAUGGCGCAGUGGUUAAGAGUCUGCCUGCCAAUGCAGGGAACACGGGUUCGAGCCCUGCUCCGGGAGGAUUCCACAUGCCACGGAGCAACUAAGCCUGCACGCCGCAACUACUGAGCCUGCGCUCUGCCCGUUCUCCACAAGAGAAGCCACCACAAUGAGAAGCCCGAGCAUCACAAAGAAGAGUAGCCCCCGCUCGCAUCAACUAGAGAAAGCCUGUGUGCAGCAACGAAGACCCA